rnacentral:rRNA from 1 species
AUUGAACGCUGGCGGCAUGCUUUACACAUGCAAGUCGAACGGUAACAGGCCUUCGGGUGCUGACGAGUGGCGAACGGGUGAGUAAUGCAUCGGAACGUACCCAGAGGUGGGGGAUAACGCAGCGAAAGCUGUGCUAAUACCGCAUGUGAUCUGAGGAUGAAAGCGGGGGACCGAGCAGCAAUGUUUGGCCUCGCGCCUUUGGAGCGGCCGAUGUCGGAUUAGCUAGUUGGUGGGGUAAAGGCCUACCAAGGCGACGAUCCGUAGCUGGUCUGAGAGGCCGACCAGCCACACUGGGACUGAGACACGGCCCAGACUCCUACGGGAGGCAGCAGUGGGGAAUUUUGGACAAUGGGCACAAGCCUGAUCCAGCAAUGCCGCGUGCGGGAAGAAGGCCUUCGGGUUGUAAACCGCUUUUGGCAGGAACGAAACGGUGUCCGCUAAUACCGGGCGCUAAUGACGGUACCUGCAGAAUAAGCACCGGCUAACUACGUG